rnacentral:rRNA from 1 species
CACGGAGUUAGCCGGGGCUUCCUUUAGCGGUACCGUCAGCCCACCGGAUUGUUCACCCGGUGGAUGUUCUUCCCGCUCGACAGGAGUUUACGACCCGAAGAUCUUCGUCCUCCACGCGGCGUUGCGUCGUCAGGCUUUCGCCCAUUGCGCAAGAUUCCCUA